UGUGCCCGGGUAAGUCUUAUACGACCAGCUCCCCCGAACCUCCCCAGGGCAGGAAUGCAGCAAGGAUAAGGGGUUGUAGCGGUGCGAUAUAAGUAGCUUACCCUUUU
rfam:Bacteroidetes bacterium OLB10 TZ10_BCD003CONTIG000026, whole genome shotgun sequence.